GGGCGGUUAGCUCAGCUGGUUAGAGCGCUUCCUUCACACGGAAGAGGUCACAGGUUCGAGUCCUGUAUCGCCCA
rnacentral:tRNA from 1 species